rnacentral:rRNA from 1 species
UACAGAGGUCCCAAGCGUUGUUCGGAUUCACUGGGCGUAAAGGGUGCGUAGGUGGUGAGGUAAGUCGGAUGUGAAAGCUCGGAGCUCAACUCCGAAAUGGCAUUGGAAACUACCUUGCUCGAGGGUUGGAGGGGGGACUGAAAUGCUUGGUGUAGCAGUGAAAUGCGUAGAUAUCAAGCGGAACACCAGUGGCGAAGGCGAGUCCCUGGACAACUCCUGACACUGAGGCACGAAAGCUAGGGGAGCAAACAGG